rnacentral:tRNA from 1 species
CCCUGGACGUGGGCCACUCGGCGUGGACCUCCUGGCUGCUGUCCGGGCAGUGGGCGUCGUUCUACGACGGCCUGCGGU